CAGCAGUCAAGAAUAUUAGUCAAUGCUCGAAAGAGUGAACUAGCUAACUGAAAUCGAGAAAAUAAUGAUAUCAUCUUACUAUUAGUGUCGUCCAAAACUGGUGCCAGAAGACUCGGUAAGGCCAGAGACGCAAACGUUAGUCAUCUUAAUCAGGCGUAAAGGGUAAGUAGGCCGCUUUUUAAGCUAGAAUCAAGAAGGGGGUGAGCCGAAUAAUGCUUAUUGGAAGGUUAAAAUCUUUUAGAUACUAGGUGGAAUACUCACGGCGGAAGCUUUUCAAUCAAGUAAUGAUUGACGCUGAGGAACGAAGGGGAGGGCAGGAAACAGGAUUAGAUACCCCAGUACUCCUAUCAGUCAACGAUGAAUGGUAGUCAUUAGUUUUAGUGACGAGGCUAACGCGAGUUACCAUUCCGCCUUGUGAGUAAGACUGCAAAGUUGAAAACAAAAAAAUUAGUCGGUCUCGAAGCAAACGAAGUGAAGGAUA
rnacentral:rRNA from 2 species